CAAAAAGAAUGUUUUUUUUUAUGUCUUAAAAAUGUAUUAAUGAUAUUUCGCGAGCGAAAAAGGAUGAAAAUACGGCUUUCAAAAGGAAUUCUAAAGCGUUCUACUGUAGAACUUGAUUCGUCUGCCUCGGACUUAACAACUAGUCUUUUUUUUUGCUAAAGAUGGUGAUGGUCAUUGAGAGUGCUACAAAUAUACCUCUGUUGAAAAUCCCUCAAAUGAUUUUUGUAUCGCCUUUCGAGGGCGCUUGUCGGCUUAAAAAUGUUAGUUCAGUUUACGAUGUAGGCGUAAAAGGAACCACCGAAGAAAUACGAGUUUGUUUUUGUAAAUAAAAUGAUUAUUUGUAUAAAA